rnacentral:rRNA from 1 species
GACGAACGCUGGCGGCGUGCUUAACACAUGCAAGUCGAACGAUGAAGCCUAGCUUGCUAGGUGGAUUAGUGGCGAACGGGUGAGUAAUACGUGAGUGACCUACCUUUGACUCUGGGAUAAGCCUGGGAAACUGGGUCUAAUACCGGAUACGACCAAUCUCCGCAUGGGGUGUUGGUGGAAAGCGUUAUGGAGUGGUUUUAGAUGGGCUCACGGCCUAUCAGCUUGUUGGUGAGGUAAUGGCUUACCAAGGCGACGACGGGUAGCCGGCCUGAGAGGGUGACCGGCCACACUGGGACUGAGACACGGCCCAGACUCCUACGGGAGGCAGCAGUGGGGAAUAUUGCACAAUGGGCGCAAGCCUGAUGCAGCGACGCCGCGUGAGGGAUGACGGCCUUCGGGUUGUAAACCUCUGUUAGCAUCGAAGAAGCGAAA